rnacentral:rRNA from 1 species
CGAGGACGAACGCUGGCGGCGUGCUUAACACAUGCAAGUCGAACGGUAAGGCCCCAGCUUGCUGGGGUACACGAGUGGCGAACGGGUGAGUAACACGUGGGUGACCUGCCCCGCACUUCGGGAUAAGCCUGGGAAACUGGGUCUAAUACCGGAUAGGACCGCACCGUGAGGGUGUGGUGGAAAGUUUUUUCGGUGUGGGGAUGGGCCCGCGGCCUAUCAGCUUGUUGGUGGGGUAAUGGCCUACCAAGGCGGCGACGGGUAGCCGGCCUGAGAGGGUGGACGGCCACAUUGGGACUGAGACACGGCCCAGACUCCUACGGGAGGCAGCAGUGGGGAAUAUUGCACAAUGGGCGGAAGCCUGAUGCAAGCGACGCCGCGUGGGGGAUGACGGCCUCCGGGUUGUAAACUCCUUUCACCAUCGACGAAGGUUUUCUGACGGUAGAUGGAGAAGAAGCACCGGCUAACUACGUGCCAGCAGCUGC